rnacentral:rRNA from 1 species
CUAGUGAUAGCUGGUUAUUCAAGAAAAGAAUAUUAGUUCAACUAAAAAUUAUAUUAAUACUAGUAAAUUACAUUUUAAUUUUUAAGUAAUUCAAAUAAGGUACAGCCUAUUUGAACCAGGAUACAACCUAGACUACUGGGUAACUUUAUUAACUCUUAUAUUUAAGUGGGCCUAAUAGCAGCCAACUUUCAAAAAGCGUCAAAGCUUAUCUACAUACAAUUUUAAUACCUUAAUAAACUAAAAACCCUUUAUUCAUAUUGAAUACUUCUAUAUCCUCUAUAGAACUUUUUAUGUUAAAACUAGUAACAAGAAGUAAAACUUCUCUUUAAUGCAAAUGUAAGACGGCCAGGAUAUCCCACCGACAAUUAACGCCUGUGAAUUAUUAGUAAGAACACCACAAGAAAAAUUUACUGCUUUUCACGUUAACCUUACACAAGAACAUUACAAGAAAGAUUAAAAGAAAAGGAAGGAACUCGGCAAAUUUUAACCUCGCCUGUUUACCAAAAACAUCGCCUCUUGCCAACUAUAAGAGGUCUAGCCUGCCCAGUGAAUCAAUUUAACGGCCGCGGUAUCCUAACCGUGCGAAGGUAGCGUAAUCACUUGUUCUUUAAAUGAGGACUAGUAUGAAUGGCAUCACGAAGGUUAAACUGUCUCCCCUCUCUAAUCAGUGAAACUGAUCUCCCCGUGAAGAAGCGGGGGUAAUUUUAUAAGACGAGAAGACCCUAUGGAGCUUUAAACUAUGCAACAAUUGCUGUAUUAUUUAACAAUUCCAGAAUAUUAAACCUUAUUUUAACAAUCUGUUCGCUAGUUUUCGGUUGGGGUGACCGCGGAGCAUAAAUUAACCUCCACGAUGAAAGAAAUUAUAUUUCUUAACCCAGAGCUACAACUCAAAGUACCAAAAAUUUGACAUAAUUUGAUCCAAUGUAUUACGUUUGAUCAACGAACCAAGUUACCCUAGGGAUAACAGCGCAAUCCACUUCAAGAGCCCCUAUCGACAAGUGGGUUUACGACCUCGAUGUUGGAUCAGGGUGUCCU